GAGGAUAUAGCUCAGUGGUAGAGUGCAUGCUUAGCAUGCACAGCGUCCUGGGUUCGAUCCCCAGUACCUCCA
rfam:Camelus ferus unplaced genomic scaffold scaffold781, whole genome shotgun sequence.